rnacentral:rRNA from 1 species
CAGCCGCCACGGUAAUACGGAGGGUGCAAGCGUUAAUCGGAAUUACUGGGCGUAAAGCGCACGCAGGCGGUCUGACAAGUCAGAUGUGAAAUCCCCGGGCUUAACCUGGGAACUGCAUUUGAAACUGUCAGGCUGGAGUCUUGUAGAGGGGGGUGGAAUUCCAGGUGUAGCGGUGAAAUGCGUAGAGAUCUGGAGGAAUACCGGUGGCGAAGGCGGCCCCCUGGACGAAGACUGACGCUCAGGUGCGAAAGCGUGGGGAGCAAACAGGAUUAGAUACCCCGGUAGUCCCUGUCUCUUAUAA